ensembl:lncRNA
ACAGACAGAAUAGAAUAUAUAGACGGUUACAGACAGAACAGACUACAGAUGAUUACAGACAGAAUAGAAUAUAUAGACGGCUACAGACAGGACAGACUACAGACGGCUACAGACAGAAUAGAAUAUAUAGACGGCUACAGACAGAAUAGAAUAUAUAGAUGAUUACAGACAGAAUAGAAUAUAUAGACGGCUACAGACAGGACAGACUACAGAUGAUUACAGACAGAAUAGAAUAUAUAGACGGCUACAGACAGGACAGACAACAGGUGAUUACAGACAGAACAGAAAGACAGCUGCAGUUAGCAGAGAAGGACACUAUGCUU